ACCCCCCCGCCAAAAAAGCUACUUUUUUGGCUUUUCCUUCAUAAUAUAGUGAUCUUAUUACAAUCAAUGUUACAAUCUCUCAAGUUAGACCUAUACAAUUUCAUCACUCCUAAUAGUGUUGGAGUCAUUUUAAGGAAAUCCAAGUUUCAGGUUUUGGUUUCUGUGAAUUUGACAAUAAUGGGGUCUAAAAAAAGACCCUUUUCAACCUCAUCAGUUACUGCAAAAUCAAAUGAACCAAUGAGUGUGAAAGCUGAUAAGGGUGUUUCAAAGGUUGUUUCUUUUUGACCUAUUAAUGUCUUUUUCAGCAUUUUGAGGAUGGUUUAAUUGGACAGAUUGAGGCUUUUUUGUUUGUUUGAGUUUUUAUUAUUACAUGUAGGAAAAAGGUGGCAAGAUUCUCGUGGAGGAUAUGGAGACAGUGGAGAAAAUGACAGUUCCACAGCUCAGGGUGAAACUUAGGAGUCUUGGGAUUCCUUCCAGAGGUACUAAGCAAGAACUUGUUACUUCUUUGAAGACUUUCCUAGACAGCAAACUAGUGUUACUCUUUUAUGUCCUUUUAAUUGCAACCAAGCCG